rnacentral:rRNA from 1 species
UACACUCCUACGGGAGGCAGCAGUGGGGAAUUUUGGACAAUGGGCGAAAGCCUGAUCCAGCCAUGCCGCGUGCAGGAUGAAGGCCUUCGGGUUGUAAACUGCUUUUGUACGGAACGAAACGGCCUUUUCUAAUAAAGAGGGCUAAUGACGGUACCGUAAGAAUAAGCACCGGCUAACUACGUGCCAGCAGCCGCGGUAAUACGUAGGGUGCAAGCGUUAAUCGGAAUUACUGGGCGUAAAGCGUGCGCAGGCGGUUAUGUAAGACAGUUGUGAAAUCCCCGGGCUCAACCUGGGAACUGCAUCUGUGACUGCAUAGCUAGAGUACGGUAGAGGGGGAUGGAAUUCCGCGUGUAGCAGUGAAAUGCGUAGAUAUGCGGAGGAACACCGAUGGCGAAGGCAAUCCCCUGGACCUGUACUGACGCUCAUGCACGAAAGCGUGGGGAGCAAACAGGAUUAGAUACCCGAGUAGUCCCAUGAU